GAUGAACGCUGGCGGCGUGCCUAAUACAUGCAAGUCGAGCGAACAGAUGAGGAGCUUGCUCCUCUGACGUUAGCGGCGGACGGGUGAGUAACACGUGGAUAACCUACCUAUAAGACUGGGAUAACUUCGGGAAACCGGAGCUAAUACCGGAUAAUAUAUUGAACCGCAUGGUUCAAUAGUGAAAGACGGUUUUGCUGUCACUUAUCGAUGGAUCCGCGCCGCAUUAGCUAGUUGGUAAGGUAACGGCUUACCAAGGCAACGAUGCGUAGCCGACCUGAGAGGGUGGUCGGCCACACUGGAACUGAGACACGGUCCAGACUCCUACGGGAGGCAGCAGUAGAGAAUCUUCCGCAAUGGGCGAAAGCCGGACGGAGCAACGCCGCGUGAGUGAUGAAGGUCUUCGGAUCGUAGAACUCUGUUAUUAGGGAAGAACAAAUGUGUAAGUAACUAUGCACGUCUUGACGGUACCUAAUCAGAAAGCCACGGCUAACUACGUG
rnacentral:rRNA from 1 species